CCGCUACCCUGUGCACGCUGCGGUGAGUCCCAACAGAUGGUUUUCGUUUAGGCCGUGGCCUGCGGAGCUGGGAGGCAGCCAGCCUGAGAGGUGAUUCAUGACACGGACUUUUCUUCCUUACACCAAAUCUGGAGCGUGGGGGGGUUCGAAGGCACCUCACGCUGUGGACAAACAAAAUCAACAAUCUGAGACCAGAGGAGUCUUUAGUGGAGGCUUGCCCAGGCUGUUGAUGGUUCUCCUCCUGAGGAGGAACCCUUACCUCCUCCAGCACGCUGACGGUGUUCCUGCAGCUCUGGAGGCGGGUGGUGAAGCUGGACGUGGUGGGAGAGUUGUAAUCCUCCGUCGUCUCCGAGAGGAACUCGGACACCGAUAUCUGAUCCGGCAUCCUACUCGGGCAGCGGUGGAAGGGUUUUCCCCCCGAAAGAGAAGGAAAACAAACAAGACGGGAAGGUUCGUUCAGAAAAG